rnacentral:rRNA from 1 species
GGCGGACGGGUGAGUAACACGUGGGCAACCUGCCUGUAAGACUGGGAUAACUUCGGGAAACCGGAGCUAAUACCGGAUAAUCCUUUUCUACUCAUGUAGAAAAGCUGAAAGACGGUUUACGCUGUCACUUACAGAUGGGCCCGCGGCGCAUUAGCUAGUUGGUGAGGUAACGGCUCACCAAGGCGACGAUGCGUAGCCGACCUGAGAGGGUGAUCGGCCACACUGGGACUGAGACACGGCCCAGACUCCUACGGGAGGCAGCAGUAGGGAAUCUUCCGCAAUGGACGAAAGUCUGACGGAGCAACGCCGCGUGAGUGAUGAAGGUUUUCGGAUCGUAAAACUCUGUUGUUAGGGAAGAACAAGUACGAGAGUAACUGCUCGUACCUUGACGGUACCUAACCAGAAAGCCACGGCUAACUACGUGCCAGCAGCCGCGGUAAUACGUAGGUGGCAAGCGUUGUCCGGAAUUAUUGGGCGUAAAGCGCGCGCAGGCGGUCCUUUAAGUCUGAUGUGAAAGCCCACGGCUCAACCGUGGAGGGUCAUUGGAAACUGGGGGACUUGAGUGCAGAAGAGAAGAGUGGAAUUCCACGUGUAGCGGUGAAAUGCGUAGAGAUGUGGAGGAACACCAGUGGCGAAGGCGACUCUUUGGUCUGUAACUGACGCUGAGGCGCGAAAGCGUGGGGAGCAAACAGGAUUAGAUACCCUGGUAGUCCACGCCGUAAACGAUGAGUGCUAAGUGUUAGAGGGUUUCCGCCCUUUAGUGCUGCAGCAAACGCAUUAAGCACUCCGCCUGGGGAGUACGGCCGCAAGGCUGAAACUCAAAGGAAUUGACGGGGGGCCCGCACAAGCGGUGGAGCAUGUGGUUUAAUUC